GUGCUCGCUUCAACAGCAUAUAUACUAAAAUUGGAACAAUACAGAGAAAAUUAGCAUGGCUCCCGUGCAAGGAUGACACACAAAUUCAUGAAGCCUUCCAUAAAAAA
ensembl:snRNA U6 U6 spliceosomal RNA